AUGAUUCCUUCCGCAGUGUACACUUAUCGAAGCCUUUGCAGCCACGCAAGUGGUAGGUCCAGACGACUGUAAACAAGUUGGUACUGCAUGCAAGUCACGCCUUUCUGCUUAGAAGACGUUGGCAACACUUUUGAAUUGCGGGGAUCUCCUAAAGCCAGUCGCACCAACCUGCGCGGGAAACCGCGCCGGGGUCUAUGGACACACCAUAGAAGAAGGUAACAGACGACUUGGAUAGUUCUGCCCAAGGCAGAGAUGAUGGACAAUCCGCAGCGAAGCCCCUAAAUCCUCUCGGACAUGGGGAACGUUCACAGACUAAGUGGAAGUGGGUGGGGUGCUGAACCCUGCUUAAGAUAUAGUCGGGCUCUCUAGGAGACUGGAGAGAUAAGUACACUGCAUGGAAUUUCUACAGAGAGGGGGUGCUGUCUAAGCGUUGUUCAGGGGGGUGGGACAUAUUAAGAUCAGGUGAUAUGAAUAUUGUCAUGUGAUAUUCAAUAUACUAUGAUAUUGAUAAGUCAUUCCUCCCACAGCGCCACGCAGCAGUCACAACGCCGCCUGUGCAGCAAGGCACAGGUGUCAAGAUGAGUUCCUCAGGCCAGCUCUGUAGAAACUCACUUGUGAACUGUAACUGUUCCGUAGGUGAACCUGCGGAAGGAUCAUUACUGAGUGCAGGCCUCUUCCGGGCCUACCCUCCCACCCGUGUCUCUUAUAUACCCUGUUGCUUUGGCGGGCCCACCGGGUCUCUCCGGUCGCCGGGGGGCACUGCGCCCCCGGGCCCGUGCCCGCCAGAGCACCCUAUGAACCCUUCUGAAGAUCGGCGGUCUGAGUGGGAUGAUAAUCAUUAAAACUUUCAACAAUGGAUCUCUUGGUUCCGGCAUCGAUGAAGAACGCAGCGAAAUGCGAUAAGUAAUGUGAAUUGCAGAAUUCCGUGAAUCAUCGAAUCUUUGAACGCACAUUGCGCCCCCUGGCAUUCCGGGGGGCAUGCCUGUCCGAGCGUCAUUUCUGCCCUCAAGCGCGGCUUGUGUGUUGGGCGUGGUCCCCCGGCCCCGGGGGACCUGCCCCAAAGGCAGCGGCGACGUCCCGUCUAGGUCCUCGAGCGUAUGGGGCUUUGUCACCCGCUCGGGAGGGGCCUGCGGGCGUUGGUCACCCCUAUUCUUAUGUACGGU
rnacentral:misc_RNA from 1 species